UGGUAUUUUUUAAGAAUAGGCCAAAAAAUAAUCAUCGCCCUUUAUGCUUUGCAUAUGUCACAAUCUAGUAAUAAAGGCUAAGUACCUUGGUCUCAGCUUCUUGCCCGAGGAAGCCUAGGUAUGUACAUUGGGCCAGACCAGCCCCUGGCCCUCUUGACCUAGCUUGCAUUAUAUGGAGGCCAGCCUGAUAUAUAUUUGUAUAUGUAUUACAUAGAUAUAGUAAAUAUAUGGUGGUAAAAAUUAUCUGAUAUAGGUAAAGAUAGUUGUAAUUUAAGGACUCCUACUUUUAAUCUAGUAUUCUUUGUAAAUUAUUAAUACUGAUUGGGACUGUUCUCUUUUUCCAUCAUCACAAAUGAAGCACCCAACCCUAAGUUGUCCUCUCCUUAUUUGCAUAAUACCUCAGCCGCAUUCGAAGGCAGCUUUACAAUUCUUUUUUUUUGAUAUAACGGUUGCUCAUAUAGCUCUAAUGUAAGUACAACCAGCUAAAUCAAGAAAAAAAAGUGGCGUGGAGGAGGAGGGGCCGAAUCCGCAUUAGUCCAAAAGACCUCUCCGGAGUGUCAGACAACGAAAGAGGCGACCCAGUCAGCGACUCUAUUUGCCUUCCGAUACACGUGGGCAGCCUAAAAGGAGCCCAGAUUCCUUGUCAAUCUGCGGAU
rnacentral:lncRNA from 1 species